AGGUUAUCGAGGUAGAGGUUGACGGGGUGAAGCAGAGGAGUGGAUUGCUCAUAAAGAAAUGCAGGUACUUGGAGAACAGCGGGCGCGUUGGGAUGUGCGUCAACAUGUGAAAGAUCCCCACACAGAGCUUCUUCACCGACGAGUUCGGCCUUCCCCUCACCAUGAAUCCAAACUUUGAAGACAUGAGAUGCGAAAUGAUAUAUGGUC